GGUCUAUAAAGCAUCAGAACACCAGUCAGAAUAACAAUUUAAUAAGAGCCAUGAUGAUCAUUAUGUAAAUGACAUUUGUUCUGUUGGCUGUUUCCAGAAGAGACAAAGACAUUCAAGCUGCCCAGAAAUAGAGGCCCAAUAUUACACCCAAGAACACGUAAGUCACAACUGUUCAUGUGUGGCAUGUCAAGAUGCUGAUUUGAUGGCAUGAUUAUUGCACAGACAAUUUGGCUGCACAUGCAACCCGCCUCACAAGCGCAGACCACGUGUAACCACACCAGCCCAGGACCUCCACAUCCAGCAUGUUCACCUCCAAGAUCGUCUGAGACCAGCCACCCGGACAGCUGCUGCAACAAUCGGUUUGCAGAACCAAAGAAUUUCUGCACAAACUGUCAGAAACCGUCUCAGGGAAUCUCAUCUGUCAUCCUCAUCAGGGUCUCGAUCUGACUGCAGUUUGUCAUCAUAAUGGACUUGAGUGGGCAAAUGCUCACAUUUGAUGGUGUCUGGCACAUUGGAGAGGUAUUCUCUUCAUGGAUGAAUCCUGGUUUUCCCUGUUCAGGGCAGAUGGCAGACAGCGUGUGUGGCGUUGUGUGUUUCCACUUGAUGAUUCAAUUCUGACAUUUCCUCAUCAACAGAUGAAUCAUUUGGUCUAUAAAGCAUCAGAACAACAG